rnacentral:lncRNA from 1 species
ACCAUACUCAAAUAUGAAACCUUAUAUACAAAAAGGAACAAAGAAAAAAAGAAGCCAAUUCAUAUUUACUCUUAGAAGCUGAGAAAAGACAUGUACGAUUUAAGCAGCCCAUGAGGAACACUUCUCCAGUACACAAUUUAUUGCUCUAUCAGGCUCUUCUCCCUUCGCUCUGCCCUUCUCUCUCCUGCCACCUUGUGAAGAAGGACAUGCUUGCUUCCACUUCUGUCAUGAUUGUAAGAUUCCCGAGACCCCCCCAGUCACAUGGAACUAAUGAGAAAUAUGUCCAAGUAAAGAAGAAACACAAGAUGACUACUCUCCUCUUUAUAAAGAUAUGAGAAAAUUAUUUUGUAAACAUUUUUACACCACUGGUGUUGAGAAACUUCCUACAGGUCCAUUGCUGUGGAAUGAAGCAAAAGAGUAUUCUUUCAGGUCCUGCAUACCAGUAAAACUACUGAUGCUAGCUGUUGCCUAGGACCCCAUGAGGAGGUGACUCAACAAAGAAGGCAGUUUUCAGAUCCUGAUGAUUUCAUCCCCCUAACCCUGACCAAUCAACAACCACAAUUUUCUGGACCUACACCUUUCACAAUUCUUUUACAAAAUGCCGCCCAUAACUUCUUUGGGAGACAGACUUGUGGGUCCUUUCCAUCCCCUUACUUGGCUGUCAUAUGAUCAAUAAAUGUUUUCUCUGCUGCGAACACUGUUGUCUCAGUGCAUUUGUCUGUUACUUCACAGCAGGUAUAUAAAUUUGUUAAUCCUCUAACAAUAUCAUUGUGCUGAAUAUAAUUCAGUUUGAUACUCAAGCAAUUAUUAAACAACAUUUUAAAAGGCUUUCCUAAAUAUUUUCACAACUUACUUAAAUUAUCAAAUGGCUAAUAAAAAUAGUCUAUACAAUUUUAU